rnacentral:rRNA from 1 species
AUCUGGUCAGGACGAACGCUGGCGGCGUGCUUCAUACAUGCAAGUCGAACGAUAAGGCACCUUCGGGUGUACAUAAGUGGCGGACGGGUGAGUAAUAAUGUAGAGAAUCUGCCCUAGAGAAGUGGGACAACAGUUGGAAACGACUGCUAAUACCGCAUAUGAGCGUACCUGAAAUGGUAUUCUUGAAAACUCCGGUGCUCUGGGAUGAGUCUGCAUCUGAUUCGCUAGUUGGGGGUGUAAUGGACCACCAAGGCGACGAUCAGUAGCUGGUUUGAGAGGAUGAUCAGCCACAAUGGGACUGAGACACGGCCCAUACUCCUACGGGAGGCAGCAGUAGGGAAUUUUGCGCAAUGGGGGAAACCCUGACGCAAGCAACGCCGCGUGACCGAUGAAGCCCUUCGGGGUGUAAAGGUCUGUCAGUGGGGACGAAUAUUGACGGUACCCACAGAGGAAGCAUCGGCUAACUCCGUGCCAGCAGCCGC